AUCAAUACAAAAUAUGAUCAGGUAUUAUUUAAGUGACAAAAGGAUGUGUGUUGUGAUGCUUGUCAAGAGAAUGAUAUUAGAUAUGUAUGGUGCAUGAAUCUAUCUGUUAUAACAAAAAUGGUGUUACUGUGAAAGGUGAUAUUUAAAAUUGAAGUUAUCUUCCUUUGUCCUUAACUAGUUUAACGAGCUACCCAACACCACAGAGGAAGUGCAAACCUAUGCCAAUUGAGGUUAUGUCCUUAAUAUUUUUUGACAUUUUUUCCAUUUUCCAUCUCACUUUAUUUUAAAAGUGUUCAAAAUUGACCAUUCCAUUGUUUAAGAAGUAAUCUGUGCAACCCAUCCAUUUGAGUCUGUGAUCCCUUUAUUAUCAUUUAUCUUAGGCUGUUGAUACUCCAUGCACGUUAAGAGCCCCAAAUCAACGGAACACCUCUUUAAUUGAUGGUCAUUAUUUCAAAGUCAAAGCGAUGCCUCCAAC
rnacentral:lncRNA from 1 species